rnacentral:rRNA from 1 species
GGAUCCAGACUUUGAUUAUGGCUCAGGAUGAACGCUAGCUACAGGCUUAACACAUGCAAGUCGAGGGGCAGCAUGAACUUAGCUUGCUAAGUUUAAUGGCGACCGGCGCACGGGUGAGUAACACGUAUCCAACCUUCCGUUUACUCAGGGAUAGCCUUUCGAAAGAAAGAUUAAUACCUGAUAGUAUGGUGAGAUUGCAUGAUAGCACCAUUAAAGAUUUAUUGGUAAACGAUGGGGAUGCGUUCCAUUAGGUAGUAGGCGGGGUAACGGCCCACCUAGCCGACGAUGGAUAGGGGUUCUGAGAGGAAGGUCCCCCACAUUGGAACUGAGACACGGUCCAAACUCCUACGGGAGGCAGCAGUGAGGAAUAUUGGUCAAUGGGCGAGAGCCUGAACCAGCCAAGUAGCGUGAAGGAUGAAGGUCCUACGGAUUGUAAACUUCUUUUAUACGGGAAUAAAGUAUCCUACGUGUAGGAUUUUGUAUGUACCGUAUGAAUAAGCAUCGGCUAACUCCGUGCCAGCAGCCGCGGUAAUACGGAGGAUGCGAGCGUUAUCCGGAUUUAUUGGGUUUAAAGGGAGCGCAGACGGGAGAUUAAGUCAGUUGUGAAAGUUUGCGGCUCAACCGUAAAAUUGCAGUUGAUACUGGUUUCCUUGAGUGCAGUUGAGGCAGGCGGAAUUCGUGGUGUAGCGGUGAAA